rnacentral:ncRNA from 1 species
GAUUCUGCCAGUAGUCAUAUGCUUGUCUCAAAGAUUAAGCCAUGCAUGUCUAAGUAUAAGCAAUUAUACAGCGAAACUGCGAAUGGCUCAUUAUAUAAGUUAUCGUUUAUUUGAUAGUACCUUACUACUUGGAUAACCGUGGUAAUUCUAGAGCUAAUACAUGCUAAAAAUCCCGACUUCGGAAGGGAUGUAUUUAUUAGAUUAAAAACCAAUGCCCUCCGGGGCUCACUGGUGAUUCAUGAUAACUCCUCGAAUCGCAUGGCCUUGCGCCGGCGAUGGUUCAUUCAAAUUUCUUCCCUAUCAACUUUCGAUGUUUGGGUAUUGGCCAAACAUGGUUGCAACGGGUAACGGAGGGUUAGGGCUCGACCCCGGAGAAGGAGCCUGAGAAACGGCUACUACAUCCAAGGAAGGCAGCAGGCGCGCAAAUUACCCAAUCCCGACUCGGGGAGGUAGUGACAAUAAAUACUGAUACAGGGCUCUUUUGGGUCUUGUAAUUGGAAUGAGUACAAUUUAAAUCCCUUAACGAGGAACAAUUGGAGGGCAAGUCUGGUGCCAGCAGCCGCGGUAAUUCCAGCUCCAAUAGCGUAUAUUAAAGUUGUUGUGGUUAAAAAGCUCGUAGUUGAACCUUGGGCCUGGCUGGCCGGUCCGCCUCACCGCGUGUACUGGUCCGGCCGGGCCUUUCCCUCUGUGGAACCCCAUGCCCUUCACUGGGUGUGGCGGGGAAACAGGACUUUUACUGUGAAAAAAUUAGAGUGCUCCAGGCAGGCCUAUGCUCGAAUACAUUAGCAUGGAAUAAUAGAAUAGGACGUGUGGUUCUAUUUUGUUGGUUUCUAGGACCGCCGUAAUGAUUAAUAGGGACAGUCGG